rnacentral:lncRNA from 1 species
AAGGUGAAGAUAGGAUUGAGAGGAGGGAUGGCAAAGGGAUUGAGAGGAGUAAUGAGGGUGACAAGGGGGUAAAUGGUGGGGAAAGAAAGGUGGCAAGUGGUGAAGUGAAUGAGAAAUGGACAAAGAAGGGUAGAAAGAAAUCGAAACGAAGUAAAGAGGAAGGAAUUCGGGAAUUGGAAAAUGAGAAGAAAUUAAAUGAUAAAGAGGUUCUAUCUAAAAGCAGUAAAGUCAAGACAAAGAAAUGUAAAAAACGAAGAACAAAGGACGAUUCUGAAACAAUUGCAAAUGGAAUGGAACGUGUGAGUGAAGAAAUUGAAAAGUGUGAUGAAGACGCUUCCCGUGAGGGAGGUAAAGUCAAGACAAAAAAAUGUAAAAAACGAAGAACAAAGGACGAUUCUGAAACAAUUGCAAAUGGAAUGGAACGUGUAAGUGAAGAAAUUGAAAAGUGUGAUGAAGACGCUUCCCGUGAGGGAGGUAAAGUCAAGACAAAAAAAUGUAAAAAACGAAGAACAAAGGACGAUUCUGAAACAAUUGCAAAUGGAAUGGAACGUGUAAGUGAAGAAAUUGAAAAGUGUGAUGAAGACGCUUCCCGUGAGGGAGGUAAAGUCAAGACAAAAAAAUGUAAAAAACGAAGAACAAAGGACGAUUCUGAAACAAUUGCAAAUGGAAUGGAACGUGUAAGUGAAGAAAUUGAAAAGUGUGAUGAAGACGCUUCCCGUGAGGGAGGUAAAGUCAAGACAAAAAAAUGUAAAAAACGAAGAACAAAGGACGAUUCUGAAACAAUUGCAAAUGGAAUGGAACGUGUAAGUGAAGAAAUUGAAAAGUGUGAUGAAGACGCUUCCCGUGAGGGAGGUAAAGUCAAGACAAAAAAAUGUAAAAAACGAAGAACAAAGGACGAUUCUGAAACAAUUGCAAAUGGAAUGGAACGUGUAAGUGAAGAAAUUGAAAAGUGUGAUGAAGACGCUUCCCGUGAGGGAGGUAAAGUCAAGACAAAAAAAUGUAAAAAACGAAGAACAAAGGACGAUUCUGAAACAAUUGCAAAUGGAAUGGAAAGUAUAAGUGAAGAAAUUGAAAAGUGUGAUGAAGACGUUUCCCGUGAGGGAGAUAAAGUCAAGACAAAGAAAUGUAAAAAACGAAGAACGAAGGACGAUUCUGAAACAAUUGCAAAUGGAAUGGAAAGUAUAACUGAAGGAAUGGAAAGGAGUGAUGAAGACGUUUCCCGUGAGGGAGAUAAAGUCAAGACAAAGAAAUGUAAAAAACGAAGAACGAAGGACGAUUCUGAAACAAUUGCAAAUGGAAUGGAAAGUAUAACUGAAGGAAUGGAAAGGAGUGAUGAAGACGUUUCCCGUGAGGGAGAUAAAGUCAAGACAAAGAAAUGUAAAAAACGAAGAACGAAGGACGAUUCUGAAACAAUUGCAAAUGGAAUGGAAAGUAUAACUGAAGGAAUGGAAAGGAGUGAUGAAGACGUUUCCCGUGAGGGAGAUAAAGUCAAGACAAAGAAAUGUAAAAAACGAAGAACGAAGGACGAUUCUGAAACAAUUGCAAAUGGAAUGGAAAGUAUAACUGAAGGAAUGGAAAGGAGUGAUGAAGACGUUUCCCGUGAGGGAGAUAAAGUCAAGACAAAGAAAUGUAAAAAACGAAGAACGAAGGACGAUUCUGAAACAAUUGCAAAUGGAAUGGAAAGUAUAACUGAAGGAAUGGAAAGGAGUGAUGAAGACGUUUCCCGUGAGGGAGAUAAAGUCAAGACAAAGAAAUGUAAAAAACGAAGAACGAAGGACGAUUCUGAAACAAUUGCAAAUGGAAUGGAAAGUAUAACUGAAGAAAUUGAAAAGUGUGAUGAAGACACUUCCCGUGAGGGAGGUAAAGUCCAGAUAAAGAAGAAUAGAAAAAGAACGAAGAAUGAUGUGGUGGAUACGAAGGAUAAAGAUGUUUCUGAUACGGUAGGAAAUGAUUUGGACAGUGUUCCUGAACAAAAUGUGGAGAAUAUCUCGUCUGGGAAAGAAGGCAAGGUGAAACGAAAAAAGAGCAAGAAAGGGAAAAGGAAUAUUGAAGGUGGAUCAGAUAUGGUGGUAAACGAUGGUUCUGGGAAAGUUGAAAAUAAUUUGGGCGAAGAAGAACAGGCUUUUAAACAAGAUCAGAAUAAGAAAAAGAAAAGGAAGAAGAGCAUUAAGAACGAUCUGUAGAUGGAUGUGCCUAAAAAAAUUAUUGGACAUGAACUUCAUGCAACAACAAGAGAUUAAAAGCUAAGAUCUCACAACUUGUCAACAAGAUGUGUUCGCAACAGGCUUGUAGCAAGCUUGUCAACAAGUUGUAACAGUGCUGUUAUUUUAUCAAGUUGCUACAAGGUUGUCGCUCACAACUUGUUGACAAGAUAUGUUCGCAACAGGCUUGUAGCAAGCUUGUCGACAAGUUGUAACAAUGCUGUUAUUUUAUCAAGUUGCUACAAGCUUGUCACUCACAAUUUAUCAACAAGAUGUGUUUGCAACAGGCUUGUAGCAAGCUUGUCGACAAGUUGUGACAAUGCUGUUAUUUUAUCAAGUUGCUACAAGGUUGUCACUCGCAACUUGUUGACAAAUUGUUGGAUUGCAGGACGAUAACAAGUUGUUGGAACAACUUGUAACAAGUCUGUUGAGCUCAACAACCUUGUAGCAAGUUGCCAACAAGCCGUUGACAGUUUGUUAACAAGCUGGGGACAAGCAGUGCGAACACAUCCUGUUGGCAAGUUGUUGGAACAGCAUUGCUACAAGUCUGCUGCAUGUUUGUGCGUUUUUACGUAAGUAGUCCAGUCACAGACCACGGCAGUUUAUAUUGUAGAACACUACCUACACUGGAUCUACAAAAUGGUUAAUAUUUCGAUAUAGAUAUGUAUGUUGAUAUAAAUUAUAUUUGGACUAUCUGGUCUUCUGAUACACGUAAUUCUCUACUUGGUUUAAAUGUAUUCUGCAUUGAAUAAUAAAAGUUGUUUUUGCGAUUUUUUGUUUUGAUCAUUUCGUCGUCCCACGCAAACGAAC